CCUGGUGAUCAUAGCGGAGGGGUCCCACCCGUUCCCAUACCGAACACGGAAGUUAAGCCCUCCUGCGCCGAUGGUACUGUCUGAUAAAAGGGUGGGAGAGUAGGUCGUUGCCAGGU
rnacentral:rRNA from 1 species